rnacentral:rRNA from 1 species
AUGAUCUGGUCGCUGCAAGCGAUCGCUAACAGGGGAUCAUGGUGGGCGAGGUGGUCAGAGCUGCUGCCUCUCUUCAAUGGUGGCCGGAGUUCGUGGCAUCUCCGAGGAAGGUACAUAGGUCAAAGUUUCAUAACUACCUUAUCCCACACAAAUCGUUUACCUAUAAUGAUUCACUACCCUUAUGAAAAAGCAAUUACACCAGAGCGUUUCCGAGGGCGAAUCCACUUUGAAUGUGAUAAAUGUAUUGCUUGUGUUAGGAAAUCAUUGGGUUCGUGGCAUCUCCGUGGAGUCCCUGGUUCACGUCCGUCGCGACAGGACCUUUAUGCGCCUCACAAAGCCAAGCUAUGGCGAUGGUGCUCCUAA